rnacentral:rRNA from 1 species
UGGGGAAUAUUGCACAAUGGGCGCAAGCCUGAUGCAGCCAUGCCGCGUGUAUGAAGAAGGCCUUCGGGUUGUAAAGUACUUUCAGCGGGGAGGAAGGGAGUAAAGUUAAUACCUUUGCUCAUUGACGUUACCCGCAGAAGAAGCACCGGCUAACUCCGUGCCAGCAGCCGCGGUAAUACGGAGGGUGCAAGCGUUAAUCGGAAUUACUGGGCGUAAAGCGCACGCAGGCGGUUUGUUAAGUCAGAUGUGAAAUCCCCGGGCUCAACCUGAACUGCAUCUGAUACUGGCAAGCUUGAGUCUCGUAGAGGGGGGUAGAAUUCCAGGUGUAGCGGUGAAAUGCGUAGAGAUCUGGAGGAAUACCGGUGGCGAAGGCGGCCCCCUGGACGAAGACUGACGCUCAGGUGCGAAAGCGUGGGGAGCAAACAGG